rnacentral:lncRNA from 1 species
GGCGUGUCGAGGUGCGGGUGAGGGUGGAUGUGGUGCGCCACAAAUGAGGAUUAAGACGUAUAGCAUCUCAACAAAAGAUAGAAGAUGCCCGUGUUGAGGAAAGGUGACUGUUUUCAUUCCUUUGAUGAGCUAGAUGCCCAUAUCCGUGAAUUGGAGGCCGAGACGAAUGUGAAGUUUUUCAAGUCGAGCUCUGUCACUCUUGGUAAAUUUCUUCAGACAAAUCCUGGGCACUUUGUUUCAAAGUUGGUCGCUGACCGUGCUGACAAGGAGGCGCUCUUGCAGCAGAAAAAGUACCGUCUCGUUAAAUUUUCAUGCACUCAUGGUGGGCGCCAGUACGAAAGCAAAGCUGGCGAUCGUCGUGUCCGAAACACGAGAACCAAAAAAGUCGGCUGUCCCGUAAGCAUCCUAGUGUUUCUGGAAAAGUCGCGUUUAGAGAUUAGGGACAUCUCACUGGAGCAUUCCCACCCGGUGUCGAAGGCAAGCUUUCUGCUGCAGCCAGAAAAUCGUCGCCUGCCUGCGUCCUAAAGGCAGCGUCACCACAGUCGUGGGAUCAGCAAAGAAAUAAGAGUACUGAACAGCAGCGGUGGAUGGUGGGAGCGCUGGAUUACACCGUCCACGUACUCGGCUUUAAACUCGCCAUCAUCAUGCACCGCGUGGUCACGGUGUUCCAUGAAUUUGACAUAGCUUCGUACAUCGGAAACGCCUUGACUUCCCGGAUACCUGUAGAGCUCUUAGGCUUCUUCUAUUGUAGAGAACAGGCUCGAUAUCUAUAUUCGUUUGCAUGUCAUGAUGUGAAUAGCUAGUUUGCCAAGAUACAUCUUCAUGUACAUAUAUGAGUAUUGCAAGCCCAUCCAGAGACUCUGAAAGGCUGAAAGCGUUUCCGACUAUCUGUGUUGAUUGUUUCCAAACUGGAUAAGCUUUGUUAAAUAGCACCGCUCACCAAGCAAUGGUUGCUUACGUCCAACCUGCUGCGUCCCUGGAUGUCCUUGCACUAUCUCCUCACUAGUCGAGAUGAACGUUGAGCGAGCUUAGAUCUGUCGUGUACCUGAACUAAGUAGCAGAAGUGAACUAAGUAGCCUCGUCAAAUGUCUGAUGCGUUCUUCGUCGACAGUUCCACAUAUGCGAGAACUGAGUGGGUAGUUAUAUACUUCCCCAUGCGAGGAAGACGCAUACAAAUGUAUGUACAAUUUUGUUUUGUGCUAGUUUAACCAGUGACCGCUAGGGAGAAUGUGUUUUUAAAAAUACCAACAUGAGAGCAUUGCUUUGGCUACUCAUUCAGUGUGUCGGGCCGCUGUUACAUAAUUGCUUAGUGCGUUCAACAAUUCUCA